UGGGUGACCUGCCCUCAGCUCUGGGAUAAGCCUGGGAAACUGGGUCUAAUACCGGAUAGGACUGCAUGCUGCAUGGUGUGUGGUGGGAAGUUUUUCGGCUGGGGAUGGGCCCGCGGCCUAUCAGCUUGUUGGUGGGGUGAUGGCUUACCAAGGCGACGACGGGUAGCCGGCCUGAGAGGGCGACCGGCCACACUGGGACUGAGACACGGCCCAGACUCCUACGGGA
rnacentral:rRNA from 1 species